GACGUAGGGUCCAAGCGUUGUCUGGAUUUACUGGGCGUAAAGAGCGCGUAGGCGGCUCGUUAAGUGUGAAGUGAAAUCUCCAGGGCUCAACCCGGAAACUGCUUUACAUACUGGCGAGCUGGAGUGAUGCAGAGGUUUGUGGAAUUCCUGGUGUAACGGUGAAAUGUGUUGAUAUCAGGAGGAACACCCAUGGCGAAGGCAGCAAACUGGGCAUCAACUGACGCUGAGGCGCGAAAGCGUGGGUAGCAAACAGG
rnacentral:rRNA from 1 species